GCCGCGACAGUCUCUUCUUUCACUGCAUUCCAUGGUUUGUAGCUGACUGGCACACUUUUUCAGCACUGGGUGUCUUUAUGCGUCAAAUAGUGGUACAGUCAUUUUGAGUUGAAACAUUCAUUUACUUAUUCCAUUCUUCACGCAUGAAAGACUUUCAACAGUUGGUUUACAGAAACAUCUAAAAACUGUAACAGAGAGGUAAUCCCUCAGCAUCAAUGUACCAACCGUCUGUAUGAUGCAGGAGCAUUUACAACAGCCAUGAAGUAGCUUGAGUUUUAUGACAUCAAGUUGCAAAACCGAAUGAAAAAGUGGCAUAUAAUACAGCCGCAUGUGUAGGAGGAGUGAAACAGGGAGAUAGAGAAAUAGAACCCAAGUGAUAUAUAUAUACAUACAUAUAU